AACAUACGGAUGAUGUGAUGACUGACAGUUCUCAUAAUGCAGUACUUAUAGAUAUGAUGCAGGGUCCCAGAGUCUGGAGCAAGAGAGGAGAGGCGCACGAAUCCACGUUGCUUGAGGUCCAGUGUAAAGUUUCUACAGUCAGUGAUGGUUUGGGGAACCAUGUCAUCUGCUGGUGUUGGUCCACUGUGCUUUCUGAAGUCCAAGGUCAACGCAGCCGUAUACCAGGAAGUUGUAGAGCACUUCAUGGUUCCUGCUGUUGCUCCACUUUAUGGAGAUGCAGAUUUCAUUUUCCAACAUGACUUGGCACCUGCACACAGUGCCAAAGCAUCCAGUACCUGGUUUAAGGACCAUGGGAUCCCUGUUCUUAAUUGGCCAGAAAACUCGCCUGACCUUGUGGUACUGUGAAGAGGAAGAUGCAAUAUGCCAGACCCAACAACGCAGAAGAGCUGAAGGCCACCAUCAGAGCAACCUGGGCUCUAAUAACACCUGAGCAGUGCCACAGACUGAUGGACUCCAUGUCACACCGCAUUGCUGCAGUAAUUCAGGCAAAAGGUGCUGUACAUGCUCAUACUUCAUACUUUUCAGUUGGCCCAGAUUUCUGAAAAUCCUUUUUGUAUUGGUCUUAAUAUUCUAAUUUCCUGAGAUACUUAAUUUGAGAUUUUCCUUAGUUGUCAAGUUAUAAACAUCAAAAUUAAAAGAAAUAAACAUUUGAAAUAGA